rnacentral:rRNA from 1 species
CCUACGGGUGGCAGCAGUGGGGAAUAUUGGACAAUGGGCGAAAGCCUGAUCCAGCCAUGCCGCGUGUGUGAAGAAGGCCUUCGGGUUGUAAAGCACUUUCAGUGGGGAAGAAAGCCUUGGGGCUAAUACCCUCGAGGAAGGACAUCACCCACAGAAGAAGCACCGGCUAACUCCGUGCCAGCAGCCGCGGUAAUACGGAGGGUGCGAGCGUUAAUCGGAAUUACUGGGCGUAAAGCGCGCGUAGGCGGUCUGAUAAGCCGGUUGUGAAAGCCCCGGGCUCAACCUGGGAACGGCAUCCGGAACUGUCAGGCUAGAGUGCAGGAGAGGAAGGUAGAAUUCCCGGUGUAGCGGUGAAAUGCGUAGAGAUCGGGAGGAAUACCAGUGGCGAAGGCGGUCUUCUGGACUGACACUGACGCUGAGGUGCGAAAGCGUGGGUAGCAAACAGGAUUAGAUACCCUUGUAGUC